GACAACUUGGCCGAGUGGUUAAGGCGAUUGACUAGAAAUCAAUUCCGUUCGCGGGCAGAGGUUCGAGUCCUCUAGUUGUCG
rnacentral:tRNA from 1 species